CAGUGAGGCUUUUCCCUAACAACACUGAGUCUUGGGUUUUAGUUACUUGUGGUUCUGGUUUUAAUAGACUUAGCUGCUGUGGGAUGCCUAAGAAGCUUAAAUUUUGGGUGCCUUAGGAUCACCAGGAAGAAAAACAAACAAACCAAUAAAGAUUUGGAUAACAAGAGAGAAGUUGAUUGAAAACUGUCAACUCCCUGAAAGUUUUAAACCAGGCAUGAAGCCUCCUGUGUCCCUCAUUCAUCAUGUUUCUGAAGACAGUUGACCUGUUGACUUAAAGACAUCAUUUAAGAGAGUCAGCCAGAACUAAUGACAGUGUGAAGACCUGCUAACCAUGUUCUCAAAAGUAAGUGAGCUGUUCCUAAACCUAUUGGGUCUAGAAGUGGUCUCAGUUUAUGGGCAGCUGACGAUGUCUCACUAUGAAGAACUUGUCCUGAUGGUGUGCAGCUGCUGAAGAUGUAUAGCAGGGAUCUUCCAUGGGAGGUCCAAGAAGGCUGAUAUCUUCCAGGCUUGCCUAUAGGUAUAUGUGGCUCACAUGCCAAGAUGGGAACAAGUAAGUCUGAGCUUGGAGAACGUUUGAUACUGCUAAGCAGAGAAGAACCAGGGACUGUGCUCCUUCUACUUAUAAAGGAAUAAAAUUAACUGUAAAGCAUCCUUGGGCAGGUCCUUCAGGAGGUAUUCCGGAAGAGGGCAUUGUUAUCAUAGGAGAUGACAGCUCCAUCCUGUUACUGCCCCAAAGACCUUCCAGUGGGACAAGAUGUGGAGGUAGAAGACAGUGAUAUUAAUGAUCCUGACUCUGCGUAGGCCUAGGCUAAUGUGUGUGUGUCUUAGUUUUUAAAAAAGUUUAAAAAGUAAAAGACAAUUUAAAAAUUUUUAUUAGAAUAAAGCUUACAAAAUAAAGAUAUAAAGAAAGAAAAUA
ensembl:lncRNA novel transcript